UUAUGAAAAAAUUAAAUUUUUCAUAUAUUUGGAUGCUAAUUUUUGCAUGUUUUUGAGAUUAGUUGAAUUUUUUGUGGAUUUUGUGCUCUUUCUGGAUUUAAAUUGUAGUUUUAGAUAUGUUUGAGUUGUGUGUGUGUUUACAGUGUUAUCGAUGCGAUAUCGACCAAAAACAAAUGGGAUCUGAGUGUUUGAGUUAACGGUUUAUUUUUAAUUUGUUUGGUGUUUAUUGAUAGGAUGUCGAUAUGAUAUCGACGAAAUUAAAAUGGAUAGUUUCUUCGAGGCUGACUGUGGUUUUAUCAAUAUAAUGUCGAUAUGAUAUCGAUAGUAUGUUGAUAUUAUAUCAAAGAAAAGAAAAUUAAACUGAGUUUUAUUAUUUUCAUAUCGAUAUGAUAUCGAUGGGAUGUCGAUUUGAUAUCGAUGAAAUUAAAAUGGGUAGUUAGUUUGAGACUUACUAGGGUUUUGUCGAUAUCAUUUCGAUAUGAUAUCGAUAGGAUGUUGAUAUGAUAUCGACAAAAUAUGAUAAUGAUCUGCUUUUAUUCUUUGAUUGAAUGGCCAAUGCAAUAUUGACAUAUUGUCGAUAUUUUGUCAAAUUUUUGUAUGUUUUUUUUAUUAUUUAAGGAAUAAUAAUUUUGUCGAUAGGUUUUCGAUAUUUUUUCGAUUACAUGUCUAAUUUUUUUUCCCUUUUCCAGAUGCCUUCGAAGCUUAUAGUUCCAUUCCCUGAGCAUUUUACAAGUCGUGUGACCUACAGAGGCAGUGUUUUUUUUAGUAAGUUUAUCAAACUAGAAUUUGAUAAACACGGUUUGGCUGAUAGGGCAAAGGCAAGCCCUUUCAGUCAAUUUUGGCAGGCUGGUGCUCUAUCAUUUUCUUUAGUACUAUUCUACCAACUGAUGCUGCAUAAAAUGAUUGUGAAUGCUGAGAAGGAUGACGAAAUGCAGUUUUACAUUGCACGGAACGAGAUGAAAUUUGGUGUGGUCGAGUUUGUGCUGAUUACAGGCCUCAACUUCACAAAGGGGCCAACAGACGAUGAGAAAGAAGUCAUGUCAGGGUCUGACCGGUUGAUAAAUAUCUAUUUCAACUGGUUAGAUAAUGUGAAGAUAGAACUAUUUCAGAAUAAGUUCCUAGCCUACGAGGUCUCGAAAGACGCGUACAAGCUAGGGUUGUGCUUGUUUGUGGAGACUGUCUUACUGGGCUGAGAGGGAAAUGCAUGUAUUACAACUGACAUACUAAAAUAUGUUGAAGAUCUCGACUUUUCUUCAAGAUUCCAUGGGGGAACUACUCAUUUGCCAGACUGAUGCACACCCUCCAAAAAGACAUGUUGAAACAGAAGGCAAAUUAUGAGAAAAAGCUGAAGAUGGAUGUUCAGCAUGAAUGCAAAUACACUGCUUACGGUUUCACACAUGCAUUACAAUAUUGGGCCUAUGAGGCCAUUCUAGAGGUGUGAAAGAAGUAUGGUUCGUGUCAGGGGAUUCAUUUUCCCAGGAUUCUAAGCUGGACCAGCAGGGCUGACAUGUGAAAGAAGGAAAUCUGUUUAUUAUUUUCAAAACGGACAUUAGUAGUCAUGAAGGGGCUACAUCCUCGCCCGGAUGAAGAGGCGUAUGCCCGGACCAUCACAUACAGAGGUUCUGUUUGAGAUGGGUGUUGAUGAGACACAGGCUGAAGACAACACCCAAGACCCUUAAUUUUUUGCUAGCCAAGCUAAAAGAGCCACAGAACAUGUUGAAUCUAAUAUUACGUAUAUAUAUUUUCUUCAGAAUUAUUUAAAUAAAAGUAAAUUGGAUUAAAAAAAUGUUAUAGCACUUUAAUUUAAAGAUACCUGACUCUUGAAAACUGAAUUUAUAUUAAAAUAUUCAUAUAUUUUUUAAA